ACAUGCUGGACUCUAUGCAACCUGAUACAUGUUCACCUAUCUGACUCCGUUCUGAUCCUCUGCUAUUGGUUACUAUUAAACGGGACAGAGACAAUUUCUGAUAUACUAUCUUCAUUAGCAGAAAGAGACAUACAAAGGAUUAAAAGGGAGGAAGCAGCUUUCACAUCUGAACAUGUCUGGUUUUAAUCAAGGCUACAAUUCUGGUCUGCCACCAGGCAGCUAUCCGGCACCCGGAUACGGCCCCCCGCCUGGAUCCUGGCCUCAGUCUGGGCCCAAUGGUCCACCAAGGCCCUACCCUCCACCUGGACCAGGGGGGUAUCCCCCAGGGACCGUCCUACCACCGGGGACCAUCCUACCACCAGGCACUAUGCCACCACCAGGGACAGUCCCACCACCAGCUUACCCUCCUCCCCCAUACCAACCAGGUGGUUUUCCAGCUUCUGGUCUGACUGUUCAAUGUGAACGGAGGCACCAUCAUUGCCAUGGUCGCGGUCGCGGUCGUGGUCGUGGGCACCUUUUUGGUCACCGUCACCAUCAUUGUCAGCAUCAGCAUUGCGGCUGCUGCAGUGACUCAGACUAGACCGUAAGAGGAACUCAAGAGGACAGAUGAGGCUGCUUAACUCAGGGACCAUCCAGAGAAACUCUUCUGCUUUUAAUACUUCUAACACUUCCUCUUUGAUUUAUUACAAAGCCUCUUACUGAACAUAGAAGUGAAUUUUACUGCUCUGUCAUUUGUCAUUUACAGGCAGCUGUGUUACUGCACUGGUUGUCAAACUGGUGUCAGGCUGAUGCACUGAACCUCUUACUUACAGUGAUUUAUGGGGCUGCUAUUAUAUUAUGAUCAGGGCAUUGCAGUUAUUAACAGCUAAACAUCAUUUAAUGGACAUCAGGGGUUCAGCUGUGAAGAUAAAAAUGAAAAUGUGUUAUCCCAACUUUAUUAGUUUAAUGUAUCUUCCUAAAACAAAAGUAGAUUCUGUAUACUGCUUAAUCAGUUUUUAAUUUGUUUGUUUAUUUUGACAGAAUAAAGAGAAUUAGAAAGAAAUGUAAAA